rnacentral:rRNA from 1 species
CCUACGGGUGGCAGCAGUGGGGAAUAUUGGACAAUGGGCGAAAGCCUGAUCCAGCCAUGCCGCGUGUGUGAAGAAGGCCUUCGGGUUGUAAAGCACUUUCAGUGGGGAAGAAAGCCUUGAGGCUAAUACCCUCGAGGAAGGACAUCACCCACAGAAGAAGCACCGGCUAACUCCGUGCCAGCAGCCGCGGUAAUACGGAGGGUGCGAGCGUUAAUCGGAAUUACUGGGCGUAAAGCGCGCGUAGGCGGUCUGAUAAGCCGGUUGUGAAAGCCCCGGGCUCAACCUGGGAAUGGCAUCCGGAACUGUCAGGCUAGAGUGCAGGAGAGGAAGGUAGAAUUCCCGGUGUAGCGGUGAAAUGCGUAGAGAUCGGGAGGAAUACCAGUGGCGAAGGCGGCCUUCUGGACUGACACUGACGCUGAGGUGCGAAAGCGUGGGUAGCAAACAGGAUUAGAUACCCUAGUAGUC